GUGAGUCAUCGAAUCUUUGAACGCAUAUUGCGCCCUCUGGUAUUCCGGAGGGCAUGCCUGUCCGAGCGUCAUUGCAAACCCCUCAAGCAUGGCUUGUGUGUUGGGCCAUCGUCCCCUAAAGGACGGGCCUCAAAGGCAGUGGCGGCGUGAACGAUCUCAGCGUCCGAGUGCAUGGGAAUCCAUCUCACUCUCAAGGCGUGGUCGGGGCGCUUGCCCCCCAAAUCUUUAACCAAGGUUUGACCUCGGAUCAGGUAGGAGUACCCGCUGAACUUAAGCAUAUCAAUAAGCGGAGGA
rnacentral:misc_RNA from 1 species